UACGAAGGGGGCUAGCGUUGUUCGGAUUCACUGGGUGUAAAGGGUGCGUAGGCGGUCGGGUAAGUCUGAUGUGAAAUCUCACAGCUUAACUGUGAAACUGCAUUGGAUACUAUCCGGCUCGAGGAAUGGAGGGGAGACUGGAAUACUUGGUGUAGCAGUGAAAUGCGUAGAUAUCAAGUGGAACACCAGUGGCGAAGGCGAGUCUCUGGACAUUUCCUGACGCUGAGGCACGAAAGCCAGGGGAGCAAACAGG
rnacentral:rRNA from 1 species